UACAGAGGGUGCGAGCGUUGUUCGGAAUUAUUGGGCGUAAAGCGCUUGUAGGCGGCCUGUCAAGUCGCGUGUGAAAUCCCCUGGCUUAACUAGGGAAGUGCGCGCGAAACUGAAGGGCUUGAGUGCCGGAGAGGGUCGCGGAAUUCCCGGUGUAGAGGUGAAAUUCGUAGAUAUCGGGAGGAACACCAGUGGCGAAGGCGGCGACCUGGACGGACACUGACGCUGAGACGCGAAAGCGUGGGGAGCAAAACGG
rnacentral:rRNA from 1 species